rnacentral:rRNA from 1 species
UACGUAGGUGGCAAGCGUUGUCCGGAUUUAUUGGGUUUAAAGGGUGCGUAGGCGGCCUUGUAAGUCAGUGCUGAAAUAUCCCGGCUUAACCGGGAGGGUGGCAUUGAUACUGCAGGGCUUGAGUAAAGUUCGAGGUUGGCGGAAUUGACGGUGUAGCGGUGAAAUGCUUAGAUAUCGUCAAGAACACCGAUAGUGAAGACAGC